rnacentral:rRNA from 1 species
CCUACGGGAGGCAGCAGUGGGGAAUCUUGGGCAAUGGGCGCAAGCCUGACCCAGCGACGCCGCGUGGGGGAUGAAGGCCUUCGGGUUGUAAACCCCUGUCAGGGGGGGCGAAAGCCUCUCGGUGAAUAGCCGGGAGGUCUGACAGUACCCCCAAAGGAAGCCCCGGCUAACUCCGUGCCAGCAGCCGCGGUAAUACGGAGGGGGCUAGCGUUAUUCGGAAUUACUGGGCGUAAAGCGCGCGCAGGUGGCGCAGUAAGUGGCUGGUGAAAGCCCUCGGCUC